GCAUUCACACAUGUUUAACGAUCUGACACUCCAACAUGCAGCCACUAUUUUAAAACCUCUCUCUGGAAAAUCAAGGAGUUAUUUCAGAGGGGAAGAUGGGAGAUCCUGUGUUUUUUGCACUGCUCCAAGAGGUUAAACUGCCAAGACAAGCCAGGUUGUUUCUGACUUAAAUCAUCUGGAGUUUCUGAACCUAAAAGCCAACUCAUAGCAGAGCAUGUAUCUUCACAAUUUUGCUCAUGACAAUUCCUGAAGCCAUCUUCUGUGAGACUCACAUUGCUUUUUCUGUCCUAAUCAAAGGUGGAUUAUCUAUGAUAAGGAAGAAUUCAGUGAUCCUGAUUUAAAUUAUUUGUGUUUU